AAAUAAUGAUGAUACAUACUUUUUAACAGUUCUGCUUCUGAAUAUUCAUGAAGAUAUUUUAUUACCAAAGAAAUUUAGUAUCUGAAUU
rfam:Pneumocystis jirovecii, SE8, WGS project CAKM01000000 data, contig: 22